UACAGAGGUCUCAAGCGUUGUUCGGAUUCAUUGGGCGUAAAGGGUGUGUAGGUGGCGCGCUAAGUCGGGUGUGAAAUUUCGGAGCUUAACUCCGAAACUGCAUUCGAUACUGGCGUGCUUGAGGACUGGAGAGGAGACUGGAAAUUCAUGGUGUAGCAGUGAAAUGCGUAGAGAUCAUGAGGAAGACCAGUGGCGAAGGCGGGUCUCUGGACAGUUCCUGACGCUGAGGCAACGAAGGCCAGGGGGAGCAAAACGGG
rnacentral:rRNA from 1 species